rnacentral:rRNA from 1 species
AACGAACGCUGGCGGCGCGCCUAAUACAUGCAAGUCGAGCGAGAAGGUGUAGCAAUACACUUGUAAAGCGGCGAACGGGUGAGGAAUACAUGGGUAAUCUACCAUCGAGUGGGGAAUAACCAACCGAAAGGUUGGCUAAUACCGCGUACGCCUCCGAGUCUUCGGGUUCGGAGGGAAAGCUGCACUGUGAGUGUAGCGCUCUUUGAUGAGCUCAUGUCCUAUCAGCUUGUUGGUAGGGUAACGGCCUACCAAGGCUUUGACGGGUAGCUGGUCUGAGAGGACGAUCAGCCACACUGGCACUGCGACACGGGCCAGACUCCUACGGGAGGCAGCAGUAAGGAAUAUUGCGCAAUGGGCGAAAGCCUGACGCAGCGACGCCGCGUGGGGAUGAAGGUCUUCGGAUUGUAAACCCCUUUCGGAGGGAAGAUGGAACGAGCAAUCGUUCGGACGGUACCUCCAGAAGCAGCCACGGCCAACUUCGUGCCAGCAGCCGC